CUGGACUGUAACUGACGCUGAGGCGCGAAAGUGUGGGGAGCAAACAGGAUUAGAUACCCUGGUAGCCCACACUGUAAACGAUGAAUGCUAGGUGUAGGGGGUAUCGACCCCUUCUGUGCCGCAGUAAACACAAUAAGCAUUCCGCCUGGGGAGUACGGCCGCAAGGUUGAAACUCAAAGGAAUUGACGGGGGCCCGCACAAGCAGCGGAGCAUGUGGUUUAAUUCGACGCAACGCGAAGAACCUUACCAGGUCUUGACAUCCACUUAAUCCCAUAGAGAUAUGGAGUGAGCUUGCUCAAAGUGAGACAGGUGGUGCAUGGUUGUCGUCAGCUCGUGUCGUGAGAUGUUGGGUUAAGUCCCGCAACGAGCGCAACCCUUACCUUCAGUUACUAACACAUUAUGGUGAGGACUCUGAAGGGACUGCCGGGGACAACUCGGAGGAAGGUGGGGACGACGUCAAAUCAUCAUGCCCCUUAUGACCUGUGCUACACACGUGCUACAAUGGCCACCACAGAGAGGAGCGAACCUGCAAGGGGGAGCGGAUCUCAAAAAAGUGGUCCCAGUUCGGAUUGUGGGCUGCAACCCGCCCACAUGAAGUCG
rnacentral:rRNA from 1 species